ACAGAACAGGUGAUCCUCAAGUGAUCCAUCCCCUGUUGCCCAUUCCUGUACCCAGAAAAGGACCAAAUCCAGGCCCAUUUGGAGGCUCUGAAGGAAGACAGGGAGGAGCUGGAGGAAUGUAAAGAUAUGGAAGAGGGUAGAAGCCAGGAAUACCUGGAACAGACUGAGUCUGAGAGACAGCUGAUUUUGGCUCUGUUUCAGCACCUGCACCACUGUCUGGAGGAACAAGAGCGGCUCCUGCUGGCCCAGCUGGAGGAGGAGACUAUGAAGAUACAGGAGGAAAAUAUCACCACACUCUCGGAGGUGCUUUCCCAUCUCAGCAAGUUGAUCGUGAGAUGGAGGGGAAGUGCUGGCAGCCAGUGAGUGAGUUCCUGCCGGUGAGACCUCAGAUCUUUGCAGGGAAAUAUAGAGAAGGGGUAAAAGGUUAAAGUCAGAAGCCACACAGGACUGAAACUUCAUAGAUCUCACUAUAGGUGGUUAAGUAUAAACUCUCCCUUGUUUUCCAUGGCUUUAUAUGAUCAUUAUUUUAGUUCAUUUUCCAGCUGUGAUUUGUUGGGGUGGUGAGGUCCUAGGAGAGGGGUAUGAUUACAGAUAUUUUAAAUUCUUUGCUUUGAAGCUUUCCUCUCCUGCUCCGUGUUGGACACAAAAAGAACUCAGAGCAUGGGCGCCGACUCCAUGGGUGCUCUGGGGGAAAAAUUGUGCAUGGUCAGCACCCACUGGUUGGCCCCACCAAUUAGCUUCACCCCUCCCCCGGCAGUGCCUCCCGCCUGCCAUUGAU